UGAUGGCAGUGAUGAUACCUAUACUGUUGCUAUCCUGAUGUACAGAUAUGAGGGUGCACAGUCACUACCUCAUCUGAUGCCAUCU
ensembl:snoRNA SNORD11B small nucleolar RNA, C/D box 11B